rnacentral:ribozyme from 1 species
CGGUCGGGGGGUUACAUGGAGCGCGCUACCCCCCUCUCUGGCUACACGGAGUUUAACUACGAAAUGACCA